rnacentral:tRNA from 1 species
GCCCCAAUGGUCCAGUGGUUAGGACAUGAUGUUUUCACCAUUAUAACGAGGAUUCGAAUUCCUCUUGGGGUA